UACGUAGGGUGCGAGCGUUAAUCGGAAUUCCUGGGCGUAAAGCGUGCGCAGGCGGUUUUGUAAGCCCGAUGUGAAAUCCCCGGGCUUAACCUGGGAAUGGCAUUUGGGACUGCAAGGCUCGAGUGCGGCAGAGGAGACUGGAAUUCCUGGUGUAGCAGUGAAAUGCGUAGAUAUCAGGAGGAACACCGAUGGCGAAGGCAGGUCUCUGGGCUGACACUGGCGCUCAUGCACGAAAGCGUGGGGAGCAAACAGG
rnacentral:rRNA from 1 species